UUUUUCUUGUGUUUUUUUUUUUAAUUAUUAACUAUCAUGUGUUCACGUAAAACAAUCAUUUCAAAGAUUUGACUGCUAUGUGUAUGAGAAUAUGCAGGCAAACCUGCAGAUGACAAUCUCACUGUAAUUAAACUUUCUACUCCUAUGAUUUUGAGUUUAUGCAUUAAAAUGUCAAAUGCUCACUGCAUAAUUUCUAGUUUCGUUAUGGAGCACUAGUUUCUGGUGCUUAGGCUGUAUAAUUUUGCACCCUAAAUAUCAAGGUUUGCUUUCAUGUAAGUUGGAUAAUAUAUGAUGUUCAUAUUGACUUUGAAAUGUACAUGCAGGAGGAUAUUGUUUCAAAGCUG
rnacentral:misc_RNA from 1 species